AAUGAACGUUGGCGGCGUGGAUUAGGCAUGCAAGUCGUGCGGAAAGGCUCCUUCGGGAGUACUCGAGCGGCGAAAGGGAGAGUAACGCGUGGAUAUCUACCCCCUGGACUGGGAUAGCGGCGGGAAACUGCCGGUAAUACCAGAUAAUGUCUGCGGACCAAAGGUGUGAUUCCGCCGGGGGAUGAGUCCGCGUCCUAUUAGCUAGUUGGUGGGGUAAUGGCCCACCAAGGCACAGACGGGUACCGGGUGUGGGAGCAUGGCCCGGCUCACUGGGACUGAGACACUGCCCAGACGCCUACGGGUGGCUGCAGGCGAGAAUCUUCGGCAAUGGGCGCAAGCCUGACCGAGCGACGCCGCGGGCGGGAUGGAGGCCUUCGGGUUGUAAACCGCUAUCAGAGGGGAGGAAAUGCAUGAGGGUUCUCUCUCAUGUUUGACCUAUCCUCAGAGGAAGUACGGGCUAAGUUCGUGCCAGCCGCCGCAGUAAGAC
rnacentral:rRNA from 1 species